UCGUUAAAACUUUCAACAACGGAUCUCUUGGUUCCGGCAUCGAUGAAAAACGCAGCGAAAUGCGAUACGUAAUGUGAAUUGCAAAAUUCAGUGAAUCAUCGAGUCUUUGAACGCACAUUGCGCCCCCUGGUAUUCCGGGGGGCAUGCCUGUCCGAGCG
rnacentral:rRNA from 1 species